UCGAGAAUCUUCCACAAUGGACGAAAGUCUGAUGGAGCGACGCCGCGUGAGUGAUGAAGGCCCUACGGGUUGUAAAACUCUGUCAGGAGAGAAGAAUCGCCGGGGUGCCAAUACCACCCUGGUCUGACGUUAUCUCCAGAGGAAGCUCCGGCUAACUCCGUGCCAGCAGCCGCGGUAAUACGGGGGGAGCAAGCGUUGUCCGGAAUUAUUGGGCGUAAAGGGCGUGUAGGCGGCCUGGUCAGUCGAAUGUGAAAUCCCACGGCUCAACCGUGGAACUGCGUUCGAUACUGCCUGGCUUGAGUAUGUGAGAGGUGUGCGGAAUUCCUGGUGUAGCGGUGGAAUGCGUAGAUAUCAGGAAGAACACCGAUGGCGAAGGCAGCACACUGGCGCAAUACUGACGCUGAGGCGCGAAAGCGUGGGGAGCAAACAGG
rnacentral:rRNA from 1 species